rnacentral:rRNA from 1 species
UGGGGAAUUUUGGACAUUGGGGGAAACCCUGAUCCAGCCAUCCCGCGUGUGCGAUGAAGGCCUUCGGGUUGUAAAGCACUUUUUUCAGGAAAGAAACGUCAUGGGUUAAUACCCCGUGAAACUGACGGUACCUGCAGAAUAAGCACCGGCUAACUACGUGCCAGCAGCCGCGGUAAUACGUAGGGUGCAAGCGUUAAUUGGAAUUACUGGGCGUAAAGCGUGCGCAGGCGGUUCGGAAAGAAAGAUGUGAAAUCCCAGAGCUCAACUUUGGAACUGCAUUUUUAACUACCGGGAUAGAGUGUGUCAGAGAGAGCUGGAAUUCCGCGUGUAGCAGUGAAAUGCGUAGAUAUACGGAGGAGCACCGAUGGCGAAGGCAGCCUCCUGGGAUAACACUGACACUCAUGCACGAAAGCGUGGGGAGCAAACAGG